AUGUUUUUUUCAGGGAACUUUAGUUCACAGUGUUUACAAAGUCUGCAGUGGUGUACAGUAACAUCUCAGGCCUUCAGAUUCACUCAGCACUCACUCACCGACUCACCCAGAGCAACUUCCAGUCCUCAGGCUCCACGCAUGAUAAUGUCAGAAUUGAAUUGGAGGACCCUGAGCGGCUGUCUGCUGCAGAUUGAUUGCUUCUUUGUUGGUAAGUAGCAACCCCACGCCUUUGGUCACACAAGUCUUCUGUGUUGAUCUGCUGUUGUGCGUAGAAUAGGAAAAAGUACUUUGUGUGCUUUUCCACAACAGUCUAUUGAGAUGAUCAUGUUUGGGUGUAUGGGUGUGCCAUUCAUUUUUUAAAUGAAGUCCCCAUUUUCGGUCUUUUUUUCUGUAUUUUUUUGGGGUAGUUUCAUUUCUAUUUCAUCAACUUCACUAGUCUUGUCUUAUGCAGUCUAAACUGUUAAUUCUGUCUUAUGUAUUUGUCACCUCAGAUACUAUAUUGCUGUAUUAUUGUACCUCUACUCAUGUUAGUUUCUCUGUUGCUAUCAUAACAAAGCAGGACCGUGCCCCUUUUUGGAGGCUCUGAGGAUAAAUGCACUUGCAAUUCAUUCAGGAUGUCGACAGAAUUUUAGUUCCAUGAAACUUCAGAAGUUUCUGUUUCCUUGCUGGCUGUUGGCCAGGGUCAUUCUCAGCUUCCAGAGGCCACCCGAGUCUCUGUCUUCCUGAUCCCUUCCUCCAUCUCUAAAGCCAACAAUGGCUCCAGUUCCCUUCUAUGCUUUGACUCUGUAACACCUGCUGUGACUCAUUUUCUUUUUUUUCUACAUUUAGCCUAAGAAAGUUCUUGUAGGGACUUCCUUUCCUGGCCUCAGGUAGUUUCCCUAGGUGCUUCUGGGGGCCAGUACUCAGCUGAAGACUAGAGCGGGACGCUUGGCUCAUCCAUCACAAGGGUUUCUGUCUGUCUCCAUUUUUCCUCCCUGGUUCUUUCCCCCAUAAAACUCUUACCACUCUGGCUUCCCCAGGCUCCCAGCAAUGUUUCUUUAACUUAAGGUCGUUUUGCUGUUAUAGUUGUUUCAAGUAAAAGAAGUAUCCAGCAUGAAUAAUUUAUAUUAACUUCAAAUCAAGAUAUUAAAAGUUUACAUUCUUAUGGAGAAUUUGGUGAUAUCAAAGAGUAGAUCUUUGAACAUCAGUUUGAGGAAGCAAUGAUCUAUAUGAAGAAAUUCUCUUUACUUCAGGUCUGAUACGGGUUGAACUGUGUCCUUCUAACAAAUAUGUUGGUGCCCUAGCCCCCAGUACAUACCUCAGAAUGUGGCUUUUUUUUUUUUUUUUUUGAGAUGAGGUCUUC
rnacentral:lncRNA from 1 species